AGAAUCAACGCUGGCGGCGUGCCUAACACAUGCAAGUCGCACGAGAAAGGGUAGCAAUACCUGAGUACAGUGGCGCACGGGUGAGUAACACGUGAAUAAUCUACCUCCGAGUGGGGAAUAACUGAGAGAAAUCUUAGCUAAUACCGCAUAACACUUACGAGUCAAAGCAGCAAUGCGCUUGGAGAGGAGUUCGCGGCCGAUUAGUUAGUUGGCGGGGUAAUGGCCCACCAAGACGAUGAUCGGUAUCCGGCCUGAGAGGGCGCACGGACACACUGGAACUGAAACACGGUCCAGACUCCUACGGGAGGCAGCAGUGGGGAAUUUUGCGCAAUGGGGGAAACCCUGACGCAGCAACGCCGCGUGGAGGAUGAAGCCCCUUGGGGUGUAAACUCCUUUCGAUCGGGAAGAUAAUGACGGUACCGAUAUAAGAAGCCCCGGCUAACUUCGUGCCAGCACGCCGC
rnacentral:rRNA from 1 species